GACGUAGGGCGCGAGCGUUGUCCGGAUUUAUUGGGCGUAAAGGGCUCGUAGGCGGUUUGUCGCGUCGGGAGUGAAAACCAUGAGCUUAACUCAUGGCUUGCUUUCGAUACGGGCAGACUAGAGGUAUGCAGGGGAGAACGGAAUUCCUGGUGUAGCGGUGAAAUGCGCAGAUAUCAGGAGGAACACCGGUGGCGAAGGCGGGUCUCUGGGCCGGAACUGACGCUGAGGAGCGAAAGCGUGGGGAGCGAACAGG
rnacentral:rRNA from 1 species